rnacentral:siRNA from 1 species
GGAGUGCUACCACUGCAGGGAGA